rnacentral:rRNA from 1 species
GACGAACGCUGGCGGCGUGCUUAACACAUGCAAGUCGAACGGAAAGGCCCUGCUUUUGUGGGGUGCUCGAGUGGCGAACGGGUGAGUAACACGUGAGUAACCUGCCCUUGACUUUGGGAUAACUUCAGGAAACUGGGGCUAAUACCGGAUAGGAGCUCCUGCUGCAUGGUGGGGGUUGGAAAGUUUCGGCGGUUGGGGAUGGACUCGCGGCUUAUCAGCUUGUUGGUGGGGUAGUGGCUUACCAAGGCUUUGACGGGUAGCCGGCCUGGGAGGGUGACCGGCGACAUUGGGACUGAGAGACGGCCCAGACUCCUACGGGAGACAGCGGUGGGGAGUAUGGCACAGUGGGCGCACGCCUGAGGCAGCAGCGCUGCGUGCGGGAUGACGGCCUUCGGGUUGUAAACCGCUUUCGCCUGUGACGAAGCGUGAGUGACGGUAAUGGGUAAAGAAGCACCGGCUAACUACGUG